AACACAUGCAAGUCGAACGGCAGCAUAAGUGAGGGUAACCUUACUUGAUGGCGAGUGGCGGACGGGUGAGUAAUAUGUAGGAAUCUACCUAGAGGGGCGGGAUAACUUGGGGAAACUCAAGCUAAUACCACAUAAUCCCUACGGGGGAAAGCAGGGGAUCUUCGGCCCUUGCGCCUGAUGAUGAGCCUACAUCGGAUUAGCUUGUUGGUGGGGUAAAGGCCUACCAAGGCGACGCUCCGUAGCCGGUCUGGGGGGAUGAUCAGCCACGCUGGGACGGAAAGACGGCCAGGACUCCUACGGGAGGCAGCAGUGGGGAAUAUUGGACAAUGGGCGAAAGCCUGAUCCAGCAAUGCCGCGUGUGUGAAGAAGGCCUUAGGGUUGUAAAGCUCUUUUACCCGGGAUGAUAAUGACAGUACCGGGAGAAUAAGCUCCGGCUAACUCCGUGCCAGCCGCCGCAGUAAAAC
rnacentral:rRNA from 1 species